AUACGUAGGGGGCUAGCGUUGUUCGGAAUUACUGGGCGUAAAGCGCGCGUAGGCGGGUCGGCAAGUUGAAGGUGAAAUCCCAGGGCUCAACCCUGGAACUGCCUCCAAAACUGCCAGUCUUGAGUUCGGAAGAGGUGAGUGGAAUUCCUAGUGUAGAGGUGAAAUUCGUAGAUAUUAGGAAGAACACCAGUGGCGAAGGCGACUCACUGGUCCGAUACUGACGCUGAGGUGCGAAAGCGUGGGGAGCAAACAGGAUUAGAUACCCGAGUAGUCC
rnacentral:rRNA from 1 species